UACGGGGGGCGCAAGCGUUGUUCGGAUUUACUGGGCGUAAAGGGCGCGUAGGCGGCCUCUGCAAGUCGACUGUGAAAUCUCCGGGCUUAACCCGGAACGGUCAGCCGAUACUGCAGGGCUAGAGUGCAGAAGGGGCAACUGGAAUUCUCGGUGUAGCGGUGAAAUGCGUAGAUAUCGAGAGGAACACCUGCGGCGAAGGCGGGUUGCUGGGCUGACACUGACGCUGAAGUGCGAAAGCUAGGGGAGCGAACGGG
rnacentral:rRNA from 1 species